rnacentral:lncRNA from 1 species
AUUUCCCCCAUGCUGUUCUUGAAGUAGUGAAUAAGUCUCACGAGAUCUGAAUGUUUUAUAAGGGGAAAUCCCUUUCACUUGGUUUUCAUUCUCUCUCGUCUGCCACCAUGAAAGAUGUGCGUUUCACGUUCCACUAUGAUUGUGAGGCCUCCCCAGCUGCAUGGAACUAGACAAGGUCUCGCUAUGUUGCCAAGUUUGGCCUUGAACUCCUGGCCUCAAGCAAUCUUCCCACCUUGGCCUCCUGAGUUGCUGGGAUUUCAGUUAACUUAUCAAAACAGUAAUGCUAUGUCAUAAUAUCACAUAGUUUUGAAACCGUUUUCAGUGGGAAGUGCUUUGUAGAUUUCUUCUCAUUCAUUCUUUUGCUAUCUGUAUUUUUAAUAUAUUAUUUAUAAAUUUGAUCUUGUUUGUUCCUAUGUCAUCUCUAUUGUAGGACUUACCAUCAUAUAAUCUAGUAGUAAGUUUUAUGAGAGCUCUCCGUGCCCCAUAGUCUCAUUGAACCAACCAUCUCUGUUUCUUCAGCACCUCAUGGAGCUGAAUGUUUCUUUUUACACUGUGAAUAAAGGGACAGGUCUUCUGCAUCCUAUUUUAAUAUGCUACCACUUACUUUAGAAAUUCUCAUAUCUGGAUUUUAUGAUGAUUGGUCUGGUGCUCCACAGACCUCACCAGAAACUUUAACGCUACGUGCCUUGGGCUUUCUUGCUGGAAAAUAUCCUGUGUAGAACACUCUGUCUGCCUCUAGGUAAGUGUCAUUUUCGGGGAGGGAAUCUCCCUGAGGACUUCUGCCAUUUCAGAUGAGAAAGCCCAGAAUUAUUCUUACAGCAUAAGAUGCCACAUAGUGGUUAUGAUAUGAAUAUAAGAAAUGACUUAGAGGAGAUGCGGGGGGGGUGCUGCU